rnacentral:rRNA from 1 species
CCGUAAUGAUUAAUAGGGACAGUCGGGGGCAUCAGUAUUCAGUUGUCAGAGGUGAAAUUCUUGGAUCUACUGAAGACUAACUACUGCGAAAGCAUUUGCCAAGGAUGUUUUCAUUGAUAAGGAACGAAAGUUAGGGGAUCGAAGACGAUCAGAUACCGUCGUAGUCUUAACUAUAAACUAUGCCGACUAGGGAUCGGACGAUGUUAUUAUUUGACGCGUUCGGCACCUUUCGAGAAAUCAAAGUGCUUGGGCUCCAGGGGGAGUAUGGUCGCAAGGCUGAAACUUAAAGAAAUUGACGGAAGGGCACCACCAGGGGUGGAACCUGCGGCUUAAUUUGACUCAACACGGGGAAACUCACCAGGUCCAGACACAGUGAGGAUUGACAGAUUGAGAGCUCUUUCUUGAUUCUGUGGGUGGUGGUGCAUGGCCGUUCUUAGUUGGUGGAGUGAUUUGUCUGCUUAAUUGCGAUAACGAACGAGACCUUAACCUGCUAAAUAGCCCGUACUGCUUUGGCAGUUCGCCGGCUUCUUAGAGGGACUAUCGGCUCAAGCCGAUGGAAGUUUGAGGCAAUAACAGGUCUGUGAUGCCCUUAGAUGUCCUGGGCCGCACGCGCGUUACACUGACAGAGCCAGCGAGUACCUCCUUGACCG